AGGGGAAGGGAACUAUAUCCCAUUGCAAUAAGACUCGAACUUAGGCAUUAGAGCUGAUGCGAAAGUUUGGCCAACCCCUUGGUCCUUAAGAGCAUCUCGGAUAAACUAACUAUACUAUCAUUUUAGAUAAAAUAGAUAACUGAACUUUCUAGAAAUAGCCCCAGCAGACUAGUUAUAACAUGUUACCGUGCCUAGCCAAAUGUAUUGAGGCUGUAUACAGUAGCCAACGAUUUUUUUAUUCUUAAAUCAUAGACUUUCUUUCUUUUCUCUCUAUUAUUUAGGGG
rnacentral:lncRNA from 1 species